UGAAAUAAAUUUAAUACACAGGAAUGUGGUUACAAUAAACAACAAAAGGAUUUGCUUGAUACUGCAAAUAUAUGGCCAGGUCCGUUUCCAUGGUAUUUUAAAUGUUAAUAUGAAAAGUGAACAAAGACUAAAAUUCACUCCAGCAAACACACAAAAAUAAUACAGAAGGAAAGAUUGAAAGCAGCCAUGGUACAACCUCCAAAAAUGAAAACCAUGCAAAUUAGCCUUUGCAAACAUUUAGAAAUAGAGGUUGUUCGAAAUAAUGUCCCAAAAUGAUAUCAAUAACCCAAAUUGUGUGACCUUGCCCACCUAAACUUCAGCAGACCGGACAAAACAUGCCAAUCGUCUUUGCCUUUCAUCAUAUCCCGAUCAUUAGCACAUCCACAUGCGAGCUUGUUAGACGACAUUAUCAUGACGCUGAUGAAGAGCCAUGUAAUUUGCUUAGAAAUGCACAAAGCAAGAGAAAUAUCAGCAUAAAUAAUAAAGAAAAAAGCAUCAAGUUACUAUCUUCAGCUAAGUACUACAAAGCACCACAAGUUAAAAGAGUCAAAUUAUAUGUGUAUUCCCUCUUAAGUUCACAACAAAUGUACCAAAACUGGAAAACAUAGGCAAAAACCAUGUCUCGAUAACGGAUCUUGAAAUAAAGAAAGAAUGGCAAGUCUAAAUUGUAUUGCAUCUGUUAUGUAUCAGGCUAUCAUACAAGAGUGGUGGUUCUGCAAACCAAUUGGUAUUUUUCAGAAGUUGUGUCUCCAUAGGAGAGAAUGUGGCUAUGAUUAUGAAAACACGUAAACAUUCUAGUUUACUGCUUAGGUGUCAUGUAAAAGCAUUCAAAAUGAAAAUGUUGAUUUGCCAACGCAAAGAAAUAUAUAGGAAUACAAGUAGAUCGACCAUGAAAAACUUCAAGUAUUGUGCUAUGAGAAUAGUACUUCUACAUAGAUGAUCUAGUGUCUCCAAUUACAGAACUGCUUAAACCAAACUCAUGAUUAUGAUUUAACAAUGAACAGAACCUUCAAGUGUUGUGCUAUGAGAAUAGCCAGUAGAGAUUUUAGAAACCAUAAAAAUCAGAUCUUUUUGUGUGCGUGCCACAUCAAUCAAGCCGGACAUAUUACAGAGCAGAUGGUGGUUAAGGAGCAUUGCCAAUUUGGCAUCUUAAAAUUCAAAGCAUGGGUAUUAUGUUGCCAGACAGGUGUAUGUAAAGCUUCAGAAAUCAGGUGUGUGUUUUAGAGCAGGGUAUCCAACAUGACUAAUAGAGUAAUCACUAAACACUAAGCUGCCCUAUCUAAGUAAUCAGGGUACCUGGCCAAGCUUAACUUAAGCCACAUGGUUGACGAUGAAAGUAAACUGCACAUAGGUGAAUGCAAGGUGGAGUGUCCUGACCUGGUAACACAAUAAGCAUAUUAUAACAGAUGAUAUGAGCAGGUAUAACUGGGAAUAUUCAGGAGACUAAUUUUUAAAAGAUCAAAUAAUAUUCUUGAUUUAGUAAUAUAAGUAAGGUAUCCGAGUAAACAUAUUAAAUAUGAAUUUUGAUGUCAAUAUUACUGUGACCAUCGUAGCACAUGAGGCACCUGCCUAGUUCUUCUGUGCAUUUCAUCAAACACAUAACAUAGGCAUGGGGGAAUGGAGUGUUGAUUAUUUGUCUAAAGUAUGAUCAGACCAAUGGUGGGAUUAGUACCAUCUAAAGCUAGAAUAUACCAAUCCAAAUGGCGAUUCCGAAGUUCUUAAUGAGAAAACUAAUUAGUUCAUCAUAGAGCAAUACAUGUAGGUUUGGGAACAAUUAGACGCACAGACAGAUUACAGACCAUUUGCAAAACCUGACAAUUAAAUCUCCCCCCUGAAUUUCACAUAGGAGGACAUCGUACUGUCAUCAUUCAAAAUGUUUGUAUCUAUAUUAUUUUGCUCAUCAUGCGUACCAUGCAUAUGUUGUUGUUCAUCCUAUAUUCAAUCACAACAAUGUGCUACCAGGAACUCAAUUAGUGCUGCAGGAAAGUACUAAAUAUUGCGAUAAAAUUACUAAAUAUCACUAAUGGCUGUACCAGCCUAAUUGACAAACCAACCUAGACUAUAUUAGUCAAUAUCUAUCCUUGAAAGUCCUGCAUUCCCCCUCCCUUUGCCCUAACAAACCUCUGUACACUUAGCAGAUAAGUCUAACCUGAAAGUAUAGUAAUCAAAGAGACCAACUUCCAACCGAGAAAUGUGUCCUCCUUUUGCUGCCAGCUCAAAAAGGACUAAUGUGCCUUUACUUUCUAUGGAUCAAGAACACUUCAACAAAUUUCCACAGUCCACAUCAAGUGCAACAAACACCUCGCUAAGAUCCAUGAAUAUGUUAAUAUUUCCUUGCACUUCUAGUCGGCCAGUGCUCAUGACGGAAUACUUGUCAAAUUUGGCAAAAGACACACUACUCUUGCACAUAAACAAAUUUGGGCAAACACGAACUCGAGUUCCGAUCAUACCCAAUAUGAACAGUUUUGAACAAAUUCUGAAAAUAAAAAUAAAUUUGAUCAGAAACAAAUUAUCAAAUUAAUCGGCAUGUUUCCAUCUCUUUAGAUUCAGUCAUAUUCAGUCAAUUUCUCCCGCAGCAC
rnacentral:lncRNA from 1 species